CUGACGUUCUCCAUUUCAUUCUCUGUGUCCCAUCGAAUUCUCCCUGCCAUCCCUAGGCAAUGACUAUCUGCAUUCUGUCACUAUAGGCAAGCUUGCGUUUUCUAGAAUUGUACAUACACAAAUGGAAUCAUACACUACGACCUCUUUUUUGUUAUUUAUUUUGAGAUUUAUCAUGAGUACUUUGUGUACUGUAUCAAUAAUAUCUUAUUGCUGAGUAAUAUUCCAUUGUAUGAAUAUAACAUAGUUUAUAUACUUGUGGAUUUUUCAGAAACGGGGGGUUGUUUCUACUGUCUCACAGUUGCACAGGCCAGAAAGUUCUGGGCCGGCUUUUUCUGGUCUAAGAUGUGAUUUCAGGCAGUGGUGGAGUUGGCAUCAGACAGCCGCUCUCCACAGCCCAGUUCUCAGGUGCCCCGACCAUGCAUCCCAGAUGAGCCUUCCCGAAAAGGGACGCCUGCUCUCCCAAAGGCUGCAGGCUAAAAGGACACACUGCUGCCUUUGGGAGCUACCAUAGGUAGGAAUCUCUGUCCCUUCCUGAGAGCAGACGAAGGCACGGGUCCAUGGGGUGACCUGCCCGUGGCCGGCAGCUGCACAAGCCCGUUGCCUUCCUAUGCUCUUCCUCCUGUUUCUUGCAGAGUUCUUGCCCAGUAUUGCCAGCAUCAGUGUCAGCCCUCUGACGGAAAGGAAGUCCACUGCUGGUGCCCUGUGAGAGCGCAAAGCCUCCCUGGGCCCAGCCUGAGUCUUUUCUCAGGGAAUGGGGAGAGCAGCAGGUUUGGGGUGGUGGGGAUGCAGGUUUGUAUCAGUGGUGCAUCCUUG
rnacentral:lncRNA from 10 species